CCCCAUAACCCUAAUUCAAUUAUUCCCCAAACCCUAACAUCAUUCAACCCUCUUUCUCCCUCUCUCCAUCUUCUCUUUGCCAAAUACGCACGGUGCCACCACCCCUUCCGACGAUGGCCAUUUCUCUCUCGUGCCACCAUUGCGUUGGCUGCUGUCGAUCAGCCUUGUACCAUUGUCGAGUGUGCCAAACCACCUCGCACCAACCCCACCACUCAGCUUUGCACUAUCACCGUCGUGUUGUGCCACCACGACUCACCUCGACCUGCUUGUUAGAAAUACGCUCCAACAAAUUCCAGAAUAUUUCAGCUCAUGUUUAGUUGUUUAGUUUGUUAGUUAGUUAAGUGAUUAGUUUGUUAAUUCGCUAAUUAGUUAGAUAAUUACUCUAGUCUUUUUCUCGAUAAAUAAGGCACCGUGUAUGCAUUGUUCACUUAUUGGAUUGUAGUAUCUUCCAAUCCCUCCUUCCAUGGAGGUUUCUCUCCUCCUAUUAUGGAGUGUUUUCUUCCUCCUAUUAUGGAGUGUAUUUCCACCUUUAAGGGAGUGCUCCAUUGUAAUUCCCAUUCUCCUUUAAUCGAGUUCAAUAAAUUGUUUUCAUUCAAUGAUUUCAAACAUAGUAUCAGAGCUUUUUGUGCUUCCAAUUGCUGCUGCAGAAACUGCUUCCUGUUGCUUUUGCUUUUCCAGAAUUCUACUGGAAUAUGAUUGUCUUUUUAGCAUUCAAUAAGGGUUGGCCAUCCUCAAGUUGGUUCCUAGCAAAAAUUAGCUUUUGUAGAUCCGUCAUACACUUCAGAUCAUCAUUCAUCCACCAGUUUGUCUGAAGAUAACUUUGGCUUCAAAUUAAGGAUAGGUUUCAAUACCAACAACAUACUGGAUGUACAGGUUGCCUUCCAGCGGGCGCGCUCCAGUUCUCAAAGCGUCAACAACUUUUGUUGGAGUUUUUGCACCUUCUAGCAUUAUUAUCUGCAACACCUUCAUCAUAACUGCUCUCAAUUUUUCACAUUCUGUGGAUCAGCUAGAAUGGAUGAUAGAUUAGAUUUCAUUUCCUUUUCUACCAAACGUUGUACGAGUGCAAAAUUGUGCCAUGAAAUGAGUGGAAGGUGAGACUGAAUCCUUCUUCACACCUGAGGCAGAAUCCCAUGCCUCUCUUCAGAUUGACAAUGGUCACAGAAAUUAAAAGCAAAGUUGUUCAUAAUUCUUCAUCAUCAACUAGCAGUUCCGCAAUUGAUGCUUCUGGCAAUAAUGGUUUGUCUUUGGCUUUUCUUUCUCCGUGGUAACAGCUAAUGCAUCCAUGUUUCACUCCAUUUCCUUAAUCUUCAAGAUGGAUCUUCCUAGUCCAUCUUGAGGGGGUGUGUUAGAAAUACGCUCCAGCAGAUUCCAGAAUAUUCCAUCUCAUGUUUAGUUGUUUAGUUUGUUAGUUAGUUAAGUGAUUAGUUUGUUAAUUCGCCAAUUAGUUAGAUAAUUACUCUAGUCUUUUUCUCUAUAAAUAAGGUACCGUGUAUGCAUUGUUCACUUAUUGGAUUGUAGUAUCUUCCAAUCCCUCCUUCCAUGGAGGUUUCUCUCCUCCUAUUAUGGAGUGUAUUUCCACCUUUAAUGGAGUGUUCCAUUGUAAUUCCCACUCUCCUUUAAUUGAGUUUAAUAAAUUGUUUUCAUUCAAUGAUUUCUAACAUUGUUGGAUGUUUUCCAUUUG
rnacentral:lncRNA from 1 species